UGGAGAAUAGAAGUGGAAUGGCGUGACUGCAGACUGCAGAUACAGCAGUAACAGGAUGACUGAGGCGGAAACGUGGAGGAGGCUAGACUGUUUCGAUGCGUCCGGUUGCAGGAGCUUUUUCUGAGUGCGCCUGUCGCGAAGAGUCAGCCAAAGCUGUGGGACAGCUUCGUGGACUUAUGAGCUGUUGUGAUCACGGCCAGCCAAACAGUGGCGAACUCCAACGAGACGGCGUCGAAGUGAUUGAUACAGGACAAUAAUCUCAUAAGGGACAAUAAUGCGGACGCACUUGGUUAGAGUUUUUUUCUGUUGAAAAAGCAAACCUGAAUUUUCUGAAAACUUUCAAAAGCUGUGCUGCACUUCUUAAAGGCCGUUGUCAUGAUAACAAGAUCUUUGUUUGCAGUAGCACCAUGGUGAUUUCCUGUUUCGUAUAGGUUGACUACACCAGUGCCGCAGUGCGAGUCAUUAUGCGCAGGAAAUUACUUUGGAUUAGCGAGUUAGGGGAUCACUGAGACAGUAGAAUUUGAUUUGAUUAUGUAUCGGGUGUUGGAUGUUUCCACGUCAUUGAGUGUGUUUCACGCGUUGCUGCUGCUUAAGUUUUUGGUGUACCCUUUGUUUAAGGCAUUCGAAGACACAUGUUCUGUUCCACUUGUUCUGCGUUCUGUUCUAACUCCUACAAUAGGUGACAAAUUGUUUUGUGUUUAUUAGCGGAUGUCUUAUUUUGCGAAACAAUCAAACCUUGAGCUUGUGCAUCGCGAGAUGCAAAAGUGCUAACUUAGCCGUAAAUAGUGAUUUUCGAUUUCGUUAUACUUGGCUUACGACACCAGUGUUUCAAAAAUGCGAAUAAACAUGUCUUGCAUUCGUUGA